rnacentral:lncRNA from 1 species
AGAGGCGGGCAGAGGCGGCGAGAGGCGGCGAGAGGCGGGCUGAGGCGGCCCAGCGGCGGCAGGUAGGCGCGGCCGCGAUGCUCGCGCGCGGGCCGGGGCCCAGGAGCUCCCCCGUGCCGGGCAAGGGGGCGACCUCGGGGUCCGCGCUCUCACCCCCACCCCGCCCACUUUGUCCAUCAGGUCCGGGGGCGCCCGGGGCAUGGACUAGCCUUCUCGACCCCGAGCGGGCCCCACCGAGGGCUCCCGAGAGCCAGCCGCGCCCCUCCGCGCCCUCGCAUACCUGGCUGCCCAGUCUCGUCUCCCCCGGUCCGGCCCGGCGCCCACCCGUCGGGCUGCCCUCAGGGGCUGGGCUCGGGCCAGGAGAUGGCUGCGCCGGCGGCCAAGCCCGGUCCGGGUAUAAAUAGCUCGGUCCGCGGUGGCGGGGGGCGCGGGCUAUAUUUGGUGGGGCUGCUGCAGCCCUCCCUGUAUGGGUGGCCUCCCCGAGGGAGUGGGGAGCACUUGCGCUCGGGCCGUGGCGCUUUCCCCUGUUCGCAACACCCUGAACACUCCCCGACCCACACCCGCCCUUGGGCAAUGACUAACAGCCCGAGACCGUGCAGGGAAGUGGGGGACCCUCUCCAGAGCCAGGCUGGGCUCCCUGGGUUCGCCCUACCUCCACCCCUGGCCCCCAGCUCGUGGGAAAACCAGGCGCAGCCUUUGGUAGCCUCCCACUUCCUAACCCACGCCUCAGUUUCCCUAUACGAAAAGUGGGUUGGUCAGGAGCCUCCCUGGGUGUUGGGCCAGUCAAGAGACAGGAGCCGCAGAGUGGAAGGGAAGCCCUUAGCUCUGGCCGGGGCCUCCAGGGGUGGCUGGAGUCGGUGAGGGACGAUGGGGGGAGCCGAGGGGCGGCUGUCCUCCUCUCUGUCCCAGAGGCAUGGGCUGAAAGGGUCCCUCUCCUGGUGAUGGCCAGAGUCAGGCCUGCUGGGCGGGAAAUGGCAGUUGGCCCACCCCAAGGCCCAGGGGCUUGUCCAUGCUGAGCACAAGGGUGGGAGGUCUUGUGUCUGUUGGGGCCGGGGAGUCCAAGGUCCCAGCUUCACUGCACAGGCCUGGAAGUCAGGUGGGUGCUGGCCUGACCCUGCUGAAGGAGGGUCUAUUCCGCCAGCGUGGUGUGGAGGCGGCUGGGCUCGACUCCCUCAUGGAGGGAAGGAACUGAGGAGGUGCUAGGAGGCCGUGGGGGGGUGUCUGCCCCCAGAGAGGCUUUGAGUGCAUGGGGGCUCUGCCGUGGCACGUGCAGCGUCUGUCCCCCAGGGCCCCAUGGUGUGGACAGAGUCUGGGGUGGGCACCUGGAGGCCUGGUCUCAAGGCAGGCUUGGUAACGACCCCAUGUGACCUUGGGCAGGGCCCGCCAUCCAGGCCACCCAGAAAGCCAUGUGGCCUGCACGAUCAGGCCAGACCCCACUGACUGGAGCGGGGCACUUUACUUUGGAGGGGCAGCUACCAGAGGGCUCUAUGGAUCCCAGCCCAGCCGUCAGGCCGGACGGGUCCCCCCUACUGGCCUGCAGUGACCCUUAUGCCAGGCUCGGCUGGCUCAGCGGUGGGUCCUGGGGUGACCUGGCCACGUGGGACAGAAGGGCCUGUGCCGCUCCCUCCAGUGAGGUGCCAAAUGUGGGCCACACUCUGGGCCCCAGCGGGGGCCUUCCGGGCAGUGGCGCAGAGCCAUUGGAGGUGCCCGGGCCCUGGGGCAGGGGCGGGGCGGGAGCAGACAGAGCUCAGGGCGUCCUCCUAGCGUCACCUGCCCGAGUCAGGCCCAUCUGUGAAAUGGGCCACGCCGGGCAGCCGCACGCAACGGAACCGAACCGCCGGGCUCCUGCUCCGAGACCCGCAGUUCACGAGUCGACGCCCCCGAGUCCCGAGCCGCGCCCACUGGUCCCACCUCUGCAGCAAGUGGAGUCGGCCCCGCCCUGUGGCUUCGAGGCCCCGACGCCUGGCGCGGCUCCCGGGCUCCGCUGACCCCGGUGGACCCGCGCGCCGGCAAUUACGGUAGCGUCCAGUAGGGCGCCUACUGCGGGCAAUACGGGGGCUCCUCCCAUGGCGCGGUCACGUCCCCCACGUCCCGCGGCUGGCGGGGCGGGGCCGGGCGGAGCAUCCUUCCCUCCCCCUCCCCCGGGUGGGCCCCGCCCAGCCUCGACCACCCGCGCCGACCCCCGCCCGCAGAGCCGGGAAGCCGGAACCCGCAGGCGCCCUCCAGCCGUCCCUCCGGCCCGGGCGGGGAUUGCGCCGAGGAGGGGCCUCUCCUGGCGAGGGUGGAGUUUUGGGUUCCCCCCUUCGCCCCGCACCUCCCGCCUUCCUGCCUCCUCCCGGUCUUCACCUUCCCCCCCGGGUCCCCACGACGCCCGCUGGGCGGCGGUGGGGUAGGGGGCGCCUCCUGACCCGACUCCCCUUCCAGCCUUGGCCUUCAGGCACUGGCUUUAGGGUGGAGGGGCGGCCUUGCGGGGUCCAGGAGGCCUCGGAGGUGGGGGACGGCGGCUCUGGACCAGCUCCGGCCCCCACCACCUCCCGGCCCCAGGGCGGUGACAGCCUUGCGGAGAAGGGGUCUUCAAAGCUCUGAGACCCCGCAGUGCCAGCUCAGGAUUGAAGCCUGCGGCGGCACAUGCAGCCUUCCUUUCCCAAAGGGGACUUGCGCCCAGCCCCACUUGGGGCACCAGUGGGGGCUCCUGGCCCUGGCCCUGGGUGGGAGUGGCCAAUCCGCAAAUGAGGCCUGUGUGUCUGCCCCGCCGGCCCCUGCCGUCGUGAUGUAAGCGGACACAGAGCGGCAGGGCACGGGCUGCGCGAGGGGUCUGCGGGGGUCAGAGGUGGGGCGCAGGGCCCAGGCCUGGGGCAGCCCCUUGCGCAGCGUCCACCCCC